CUCCACCUCAUAGAGCUCUUUUUUCAGCCGCUCCACCUCCGCCUGCGAAGCAGCGAGCUGGACCUCAACAGCUCUCUUUGCCUCUUCUGCCUUGGCAGCUUUGGCCUGGGCAGCUCGCACCGCGUCCCCGUAAUGCAUCGCCUCCUCGAGGCGCUUGGCGAGGUCCUCCCUCUUGGAGUUUAGAUCCUUCACCAAGCCCUCGAGUUGGAUACUUGUGCUUAGUGCCCGGGCCACGCAGGCGCUGUUCACCGCCACCAAGUCCUCAGCAGUGCAGGAGGCGGUGUGGUCCCUCCACUCUUCGGUCCAAUACUUGCUGUGGACCACCGCCACCGCAGCUGUUUCAGGAGGGAGAGCCUCCAGUACCUCCCUUACUGGUUCUUCCGAACUGGUGCCGAGGAAGUCAACUUCUUUGUUGGGGCGGGCCCUUUUCCUCCUCUGCUGCCCCGGAACAUGUUCAAUAGGUACAGCCGUGAGGGGCGUCGUUUCCUGGGCAGCAGCAGGCUCCGCAGCAGAGGGGCUUCUCUCUGGGAGGGCCACCCCAGUAGGAAUAGUUGUCUGCCGCAUAACUGGGGGUGGCCUCGCCACAGUUGGGCGUCUUGGAGGGGCAGCACUUUUCUUGCCCUUCCUUCGAAGGUCGGCCGCCGGAUCUUCCUGAACCUCCUCCUCUGUCGGAGGCUGAAGCCUCUUACUGGCCUCCACCAGCUCCUCCAUCUGUUUCUUAUAUGAAGAAGAGGAGGCCUUCAGUGCCCUUGCUUCAGCCAUCAUUUUCUGAAUAGUUUUGAAGUCAGGGCGAACUGGCAGCUUCUUGUUGAAGUUAUCUGCAAAGAAAAGAAUGAGGAAUUAAAUACAAAGUAUUGGGAUAUGACCUCUUCUUCUGAGGCAGUUGAUAAAUAACGCAAAUAAUGUCGAAGUCCUCUGUCGACAGCUCGCACCGAGGGAGGGAACCUGCGAAAAGAAACCUAUUAAACACAAGCCCAACCGAAGAGAAGUAAGAUUUCAACUACUAUACUCACUAAGUGUUGAAAACUUCGCCGGGACCGUAAGAGGCGCCAGGGGGUCCCCCUCCAUUGUGUCCCAUCGCCCCGCUGCCCAGCACCAAGAGCUCUUCCAUUCCUUGAUGGAGCUCGGCAGAUCGAUCACAAAUGGAGUGUGGGAACCCCAUGACGUCAGAUAGUACCAGCCCCGGGUCUUAUCCCCCCCGGCAGUAACCUUGGGUAUGUAAAGAGUUUGAAAAACAGAAAGGGGCAUCUCCACUCCUAACGACGCCUCUUUCCACAACAUCCAGGAGCCCACCAUCUGGCUCCAGGAGUUCGGAUUGAGCUGCGUCGGGGCUAGCCCGUAAGACCUAAGCACCAACCUAAAGAACGGGUGAAUGGGCAGCCUAAGUCCGGCCCUAAGGAUCGCCUCGCUAAUGGCUACGCAGCCCGGCCUUGGGUAACAAGCCCUCUCUUCUGGCCCUGGGAGAAUCAGGUCCACACUAUCCGGGAUCCUAUAUUCCGUCCUAAGUCUACCGAGGUCGGCCUCCCUCAACUUUGAUGGGUAGUCCGAUGCCCCCCAGUGCACAGAGGUAUCCGGAGGGCUAUCUGGUCGCUUCCACAUGUUUUCCCCUCCCAUUAUGGCCCCAGCUAUUUCUGAGGAGGUCGCCACAAUGGGCUCGUCCACCCUCACAAUCUCUAAACCCCUACCCAUACCAGAACUCCCUUCCAAGGCCAUUAGUUAAGAAAUUUUUAGUCUAAAUGGGUACUGGAACUUACGGGUUUGAAAGUGUUUCGUAGCCGGAAAUGGUACAAGAUCGCCGGAAAUAUCACUCUCUCUGUCGCCGGAGUUACUUGUAGAACGCCGGAAAUCGCCGAAAACUUGGGAGAGAAUUUUGUUUUUUUCGUGGCAAAGGUAGAAACUCUGGUAAGCCCCCAAAGUUCACCUUUUAUAGGAAAGACGAAUCCAAUCUCCACCCUUGAAUUCAAAUACGAUCAAUCUAAACCGUCCGUUGUAUUCUCGAUCCCAGUCGUUAAAAUGAAACGCCAGAUUUGAUCUACGCCCAAGAUGUAGCUGUGACUUUCACGCUAAAUUAAAACGCGUCGCCUCGGUUAACAACAGCCGUCAAUAAUAAUUACUGGCCGCGGCAGCCUUCUAGGGGAAUGGGUGUGGUACCCAACUGUCAUCUUGGAAACACGCAACAGUUGUCAAAUCAUUGGACUUCUGGGUCGCCUCGGAUGAUCUCCUCCCCCCACUUUACAAAGCUUGGCCGUAACCGACGCGAAGGCCCCCGUCGCUAAUCACCUCGGGCGCUACGUUCCCUCCAUUGCUUUACGAAGUUCUAGCCAUCUCCCCACGCGUCGACCCUUUGUCCGUCAACGCUUCGGCGAGAACGAGUCCUCCAA
rnacentral:lncRNA from 1 species